GUCAUUUGAAGCCGGUCUUUUUAUGUAGGUUGCGUUGCCGCAUGGUUGAUUUGUUCUGCGCCAGCAUAUAAUGUCACGGCGCGACGUCGUGUUUUUGCGUGGUUCGAACGUAUACUUGCGCCAUUCUAAACCAUACGAACAGUACGGUAACACCUGAAAGACUUUGGACUGCUGACGGCAGUUUGUGUGCCUGUUGACAACCCUCUGGGUUUCGCGCGGACCUGAGCUGUCUCCCAGCUUUCGUCACCAUGUCAACCACGUCGAUACUGAAGAAACGUGGUCCGUCGACAUCCACCGUCGUCGUCGAGAACCGCGUGGGAUUCAAGCUGCCUUCUGCCGACGAGAUUGACGUCCAGAUGGCUUUCGCGGAAGCCAACAAGUCGAACGUCAUGGACAGCAACUACAGGCAGCUGAUCAGUGCCCUCAAGUCUGCCGACACCGACGAUGAAGCGCUGGUGAGGUUGCUGAAACGCAUCAAGAACUCUGCGCCACUGAUUGAAAGGCACAACGACGAAGUGCUGGAUUGCGUCCUGAAAAUCAACCUGCUCAGGAGGAAUGUUCACGUCAUAGACGUAUUUUCACAGCUGGCCUGCGACAUGGUCUUCAUCCACCCCGUGAUCCUGAGGAACAUUGUCGUAGCUCUCCUAGGCACCUUCAUGUCUCCAGAAGCCACUUCAAAGGACACGCCAGAGCUGGAAGAAAAAUUGGAGAGGCUUCACGCACUGUUCCGGCUGCUCUUCAAGCUUAUGCCAACGGCUCCCACACGGCUGAUCGAGAUUCUCGCCGAGGUGUUUCCUUACAUGAAACGAGAGGGCACCCAGCAGGCAUCCCUCGUGGGUCAUCUUCUCCGCCUGUCCUCCUACAUCCCAGACCAUAGGCUGGAGCUGCUGCAGCUGCUCACGCACAAGGCGUUGCAGAUUGACCUGCACUGCCCCAAGGAUGAAAUAAGUGAAGCUGAACUCGAAGACGAGGACGAUGCCAUGGAAGGAGGCGACAUCUUUGAAAUGGAAAAAGACAACGGCACCGACUUGGAACGCAUGCAGCAUCCCCUUGCCGACAUUCUGGACCAGGUUCUCAACCAGUUCUACCUGCAUUUCCAACAACGCUGCAACGCCAAAGAUGACGACCUGUCCAAGCUGGACUGGGAGAAGACUAAAGUGCUCUUUAAGGACUUCCUGGCCAUCUUCGACAAGAUAGUCCUGCCGACGCACAAGUGCUGUCACGUACAGUUCCUCCUCUUCUACCUGUGCAGCUUCCGGCCUGCGGCCCUGGCAGUUGCAUUCCUGGACUACCUCUGGAAGAAAGUCCAGAACCCUGCCACAUCGUGCAUCGUGCGGCAAGCGUCGGCAUACUACAUCGGAAGCUUUCUGGCCCGAGCGAAAUAUGUGCCUCUCAGCACGGUGUGCGACUCCCUGUCCCUCAUGUCCAAGUGGGCGCACGGCUACAUGGCCUCGCUGAACGACGGCGGAUUCUGUCAACCCCAGCACGACGUCCAGCGGCACGGAACCUUCUAUGCCGUCUGCCAGACGGUGUUCUAUGUGUUUGCUUUCCACCACAAAGGCAUUGCAGACGGCGAGAAAGGCCUGCAGUACCUGCGCGACCUGAACCUGGAGGCCCUCGUGAUGUGCCCGCUGAACCCUCUGAAGGCCUGCCUGCCCGCCGUGGUCAAGCAGUUUGCCUCGAUAGCACGCCACUACCAGCUUGUCUACUGCUACAGUGUCAUCGAGCGCAACCAGCGGCUCGCCCUGCCCACGGCCGGCGGGGACAACACACCGUACGGAGACACAGUCCUCGACGCGUUCUUCCCGUUCGACCCCUAUGUGCUGAAGCGCACCAGCAAAUGGAUUGAUUCCCUCUACAGGAAGUUCGAGAAGUCUGACGACGAUGCCGACGCAGACUUGGACGACGAACCUGAGUGAAAAAUGCACGAGCAUGACACGGACAGCGUUCUGCGACGAGUGACUGCUGAGGGAGACCGGCAACGCAGACUCCAUAGCGGCACAGCACCGUAGUGCCGGUCCCAGGAGGAGCAAAAGUGCAAGCAGCACUAUCUGCUCGGUGCAUGGACGACGAUGAUGAGCUGAUGUGCAAGUCGCCCAAAUCGCCGAGCUGCGUCGCUGAAAUGUUCAGUUACGGCACGUCGCCUGGCUUCAAGCGCAGUCUAUCUUUUGGUCACCACCGAUAGUUCAGAAGCUAGU
rnacentral:misc_RNA from 1 species